rnacentral:tRNA from 1 species
GGCCUGGUUGCUCACUAGGUUAGAGCUUUGUCCUGAUAUGCCAAAGUUCCGGGUUUGAUACCCAGUCAGGGCA